AACGAACGCUGGCGGCAGGCUUAACACAUGCAAGUCGAACGCCCCGCAAGGGGAGUGGCAGACGGGUGAGUAACGCGUGGGAACAUACCCUUUUCUACGGAAUAGCUCUGGGAAACUGGAAUUAAUACCGUAUACGCCCUACGGGGGAAAGAUUUAUCGAGGAAGGAUUGGCCCGCGUUGGAUUAGCUAGUUGGUGGGGUAAAGGCCUACCAAGGCGACGAUCCAUAGCUGGUCUGAGAGGAUGAUCAGCCACAUUGGGACUGAGACACGGCCCGAAUUCUUACGGGAGGCAGCAGUGGGGAAUAUUGGACAAUGGGCGCAAGCCUGAUCCAGCCAUGCCGCGUGAGUGAUGAAGGCCGUAGGGUUGUAAAGCGCUUUCACCGAUGAAGAUAAUGACGGUAGUCGGAGAAGAAGCCCCGGCUAACUUCGUG
rnacentral:rRNA from 1 species